rnacentral:rRNA from 1 species
ACGAACGCUGGCGGCGUGCUUAACACCUGCAAGUCGCACGGAAAGGCCUCAGCUUGCUGGGGUACUCGAGUGGCGAACGGGUGAGUAACACGUGGGUGAUCUGCCUUGCACUCUGGGAUAAGCUUGGGAAACUGGGUCUAAUACCGGAUAUGAACUGCCUUUAGUGUGGUGGUUGGAAAGUUUUUUCGGUGCAAGAUGAGCUCGCGGCCUAUCAGCUUGUUGGUGGGGUAAUGGCCUACCAAGGCGUCGACGGGUAGCCGGCCUGAGAGGGUGUACGGCCACAUUGGGACUGAGAUACGGCCCAGACUCCUACGGGAGGCAGCAGUGGGGAAUAUUGCACAAUGGGCGGAAGCCUGAUGCAGCGACGCCGCGUGGGGGAUGACGGCCUUCGGGUUGUAAACUCCUUUCGACAGGGACGAAGCUUUUUGUGACGGUACCUGUAUAAGAAGCACCGGCUAACUACGUG